AAUGUGCCAGCUAUUGAGCUAAACUUGGGAUGCUAGAAAAGACAAUCCCUUUUCUGGAUUAGGAAGUUUACAUUUUAAAGAUGCAAGAAGGCACUAAACAAGGGCAGUGAGGUACAACAAGCUCUGUGGUUUUAUUUCUCCUAAAUGGGAGGAAACAUAGAGAGGAAGAAAAGUAUGCAAUCUCAGUUGCAAAUGGAGGCAGGGGCUCACCAUGUUCUCUGAUACGAUUGUACCGCCCAUUGGUAAGAAUCAGGCUGAAAAGAUUCUGUUACUGAAACUCAACACUUAGUUGAUACCUGCUACAACUUUAACUACUCGUUGACUGUUUACGGCUUUUGCUGUAAGUUGGAGUAUGGUGACAAACACACAAAAUUAUUUGAUCUUCCUGUUGAGCUCUAGCUAAGGGUUCUUCAUAUAUUCUGGAUAUUAGACCUUCAUCAGAUAUGUGAUUUACAAAUAUUUUUUCCCAUUUGUUUGUUACCUUUUCACUAUCUUGAUACUCUACUUUGAGGUGAAAAUGCUUUUAAAUUCGAUGAAGUCCAAUUUAUCUAUUUUUUCUUUGAUUUCUUGUGCUUUUGGUAUUAUGUUUAAAUAUUGCAUUUCUAGAAUAAAUGUCAUGAAUAAUUAUACUGAU
ensembl:lncRNA novel transcript